GGCGGGAUAGCUCAGUAGGUAGAGCAACGGACUGAAAAUCCGUGUGUCCCCAGUUCAAUUCUGGGUCCCGCCA
rfam:Synergistes sp. 3_1_syn1 genomic scaffold supercont1.8, whole genome shotgun sequence.